rnacentral:rRNA from 1 species
UACAGAGGGGGCAAGCGUUAUUCGGAAUUACUGGGCGUAAAGGGCGCGCAGGCGGCUCUGAAAGUCAGAUGUGAAAGCCCCGGGCUUAACCUGGGAAUUGCAUUUGAUACUCUGGAGCUUGAGUACGGGAGAGGAGAGUGGAAUUCCCAGUGUAGAGGUGAAAUUCGUAGAUAUUGGGAAGAACACCGGUGGCGAAGGCGGCUCUCUGGACCGUAACUGACGCUGAGGCGCGAAAGCGUGGGGAGCAAACAGG